rnacentral:rRNA from 1 species
AGAGUUUGAUCAUGGCUCAGGAUGAACGCUAGCGGCAGGCUUAAUACAUGCAAGUCGUGGGGCAGCGGGGGUGUAGCAAUACACUCGCUGGCGACCGGCAAACGGGUGCGGAACACGUACGCAACCUACCCAAAACUGGGGAAUAGCCCGGGGAAACCCGGAUUAAUACCUCGUAACACCAUGAAGUGGCAUCACUAUAUGGUUAUAGCUCCGGCGGUUUUGGAUGGGCGUGCGCCUGAUUAGGUAGUUGGCGGGGUAACGGCCCACCAAGCCAGCGAUCAGUAACUGGUGUGAGAGCACGACCAGUCACACGGGCACUGAGACACGGGCCCGACUCCUACGGGAGGCAGCAGUAAGGAAUAUUGGUCAAUGGACGCAAGUCUGAACCAGCCAUGCCGCGUGAAGGAUGAAGGUCCUCUGGAUUGUAAACUUCUUUUAUAUGGGACGAAACCCGGGAAUUCCUUCCCGAUUGACGGUACCAUAGGAAUAAGCACCGGCUAACUCCGUGCCAGCCGCCGCGGUAAUAC